ACCGGCAGCUCUAGUGGUAGCUGUUUUUAUUGGGCCUAAAGCGUUCGUAGCCGGUUUAAUAAGUCUUUGGUGAAAUCCUGUAGCUUAACUAUGGGAAUUGCUGAGGAUACUGUUAGGCUUGAGGUCGGGAGAGGUUAGCGGUACUCCCAGGGUAGGGGUGAAAUCCUGUAAUCCUGGGAGGACCACCUGUGGCGAAGGCGGCUAACUGGAACGAACCUGACGGUGAGGGACGAAAGCUAGGGGCGCGAACCG
rnacentral:rRNA from 1 species